rnacentral:rRNA from 1 species
GACGAACGCUGGCGGCGUGCUUAACACAUGCAAGUCGAACGGUGAAGCGCCUUCCUUUUUGGUGGGUGUGGAUGAGUGGCGAACGGGUGAGUAACACGUGAGUAACCUGCCCCCUUCUUCUGGAUAACCGCAUGAAAGUGUGGCUAAUACGGGAUAUUCUGGGUCUGUCGCAUGAUGGGUCUGGGAAAGAUAUUGUUUCGGUGGGGGAUGGGCUCGCGGCCUAUCAGCUUGUUGGUGGGGUGAUGGCCUACCAAGGCGGUGACGGGUAGCCGGCCUGAGAGGGGGGCCGCCCCCAGUGGGAGUGAGCCCCCGCCCGGCCCCCUGGGGGGGGCGGCAGGGGGUAUUAUUGCACAGGGGGCGAGCGCGUGAUGCCGCGCCCCCGCGGGGGGGAUGGAGCCGUUGGUGUUGGGACCCUCUUUCGCCGGGGAAGCGGGCCCGCCUCUUUUGUGGGGGGUUGGACGGUAGCUGGAAAAGAGGCCCCGCCUAACUACGUC